rnacentral:rRNA from 1 species
UACGUAGGGGCGAGCGUUGUCCGGAUUACUGGCGUAAGCGCGUGUAGGUGGGAGCAAGUCCGGUGGAAGCCGCGGCUCAACCGCGGAAGUUCGCUGGAACUGCUACUCGUUGAGGGUGAUAGAGGAAGUGGAAUUGCUGGUGUAGCGGUGAAUGCGUAGAUAUCAGCGGACACCGUGGCGAAGGCGGCUUCCUGGAUCACCCUGACGCUGAGACGCGAAGCGUGGGAGCGAACGGG